rnacentral:rRNA from 1 species
UACGAAGGGGGCUGGCGUUGUUCGGAAUCACUGGGCGUAAAGCGCACGUAGGCGGCUUUUUAAGUCAGGGGUGAAAUCCUGGAGCUCAACUCCAGAACUGCCUUUGAUACUGAGAAGCUUGAGUCCGGGAGAGGUGAGUGGAACUGCGAGUGUAGAGGUGAAAUUCGUAGAUAUUCGCAAGAACACCAGUGGCGAAGGCGGCUCACUGGCCCGGUACUGACGCUGAGGUGCGAAAGCGUGGGGAGCAAACAGG